rnacentral:rRNA from 1 species
UGGGGAAUUUUGGACAAUGGGCGAAAGCCUGAUCCAGCCAUGCCGCGUGUGGGAUGAAGGCCUUCGGGUUGUAAACCACUUUUGUCAGGGACGAAAAGGUUCAGGCUAAUACCUUGAACUGCUGACGGUACCUGAAGAAUAAGCACCGGCUAACUACGUGCCAGCAGCCGCGGUAAUACGUAGGGUGCAAGCGUUAAUCGGAAUUACUGGGCGUAAAGCGUGCGCAGGCGGUUCUGUAAGAUAGAUGUGAAAUCCCCGGGCUUAACCUUGGAAUUGCAUUUAUGACUGCAGGACUCGAGUUUGUCAGAGGGGGGUGGAAUUCCAAGUGUAGCAGUGAAAUGCGUAGAUAUUUGGAAGAACACCGAUGGCGAAGGCAGCCCCCUGGGACAUGACUGACGCUCAUGCACGAAAGCGUGGGGAGCAAACA